rnacentral:lncRNA from 10 species
AUUCCCAGUUCCCAUCCCUCCCCUCCCUGCCACGGUGCCAGUAGCUCCCUCUGAAUUAAAAUGCUAAACUGCAAAAAUGUUACUUGGAAGAGUUAACUGAUUAGCUUGUUAACACUCUCAGAAGGGUUGGAAACAGAGCACAGGAGAGAGAUUUGACUUAGGGUUAGUAAAGUUUCAGAGGGCAGGAGCAUAGCAAGAGGGCAGGCGAGGAGGCAGGACUGGGCUGAGGUUGAAGCCAAGCAGCAGGGACAGGAGCCUAAGAGGGGCAGAGGCAACAAGCCAGCCUAUUCUGUUCCCCAACUGUGAUGAGAUGGUGUUGUCUCUUGUGCACAACUCUGUCACCACGUAUGGCUACUCUCAUGACAGUCAUUAGAGCCAUUUCUUUUUAUCUUAUGCUGAAGUUAUUUGAGCCCAAGUCUUCUCUCCCUUAUUAGAAUAGACCUGCCUGAGGGUAUAGACUGAGUGAAAUUAAUCUUUGAGUUUCCCUAUAGCACUUAGUAUCCUAGAGAUUCAUCCAUCCAUCCAACCAUCCACC